rnacentral:rRNA from 1 species
UACGUAGGGGGGCAAGCGUUGUCCGGAUUUAUUGGGCGUAAAGAGCGUGUAGGCGGUUUGGUAGGUCCGUUGUGAAAACUCGAGGCUCAACCUCGAGACGCCGAUGGAAACCAUCAGACUAGAGUCCGGAAGAAGAGAGUGGAAUUCCUGGUGUAGCGGUGAAAUGCGCAGAUAUCAGGAAGAACACCCGUGGCUAAGGCGGCUCUCUAGUACGGUACUGACGCUGAGACGCGAAAGCGUGGGGAGCGAA